CCCCGUGCGGUGAAGGACUUAGCUAACUCUGUGAACAGAUAUCUGAAUGCCUUCAAUGUUCACAGUGGCUAAGUUCCGCACCUCAG
rnacentral:pre_miRNA from 13 species